UACGUAGGGUGCGAGCGUUAAUCGGAAUUACUGGGCGUAAGGGCGCGUAGGCGGCCUGCUAAGUCGAACGUGAAAUCCCCGGGCUCAACCCGGGAACUGCGUCCGAUACUGGCAGGCUUGAAUCCGGGAGAGGGAUGUGGAAUUCCAGGUGUAGCGGUGAAAUGCGUAGAUAUCUGGAGGAACACCGGUGGCGAAGGCGGCAUCCUGGACCGGUAUUGACGCUGAUGCGCGAAAGCCAGGGGAGCAAACGGG
rnacentral:rRNA from 1 species